UCCUACGGGAGGCAGCAGUGGGGAAUUUUCCGCAAUGGGCGAAAGCCUGACGGAGCAAUACCGCGUGAGGGAAGACGGCCUAUGGGUUGUAAACCCCUUUUUUCAGGGAGGAAUCAAUGACGUGUACCUGAAGAAUAAGCAUCGGCUAACUCCGUGCCAGCAGCCGCGGUAAGACGGAGGAUGCAAGUGUUAUCCGGAAUCACUGGGCGUAAAGCGUCUGUAGGUGGUUUAAUAAGUCAACUGUUAAAUCUUGAGGCUCAACUUCAAAAUCGCAGUCGAAACUAUUAGACUAGAGUAUAGUAGAGGUAAAGGGAAUUUCCAGUGGAGCGGUGAAAUGCGUAGAUAUUGGAAAGAACACCGAUGGCGAAAGCACUUUACUGGGCUAUUACUAACACUCAGAGACGAAAGCUAGGGUAGCAAAUGGGAUUAGAUACCCCAGUAGUCCUAGCCGUAAACUAUGGAUACUAGAUGUUGAACAGAUCGACCUGUGCAGUAUCAAAGCUAACGCGUUAAGUAUCCCGCCUGGGAAGUAUGCUCGCAAGAGUGAAACUCAAAGGAAUUGACGGA
rnacentral:rRNA from 1 species